UGCCUUUGGGAAGUUGUAAUA
rnacentral:piRNA from 1 species